CCUACGGGUGGCUGCAGUCGGGAAUUUUGGGCAAUGGGCGAAAGCCUGACCCAGCAACGCCGCGUGAAGGAUGAAGCUUUUCGGAGUGUAAACUUCAUAAGAAUGGGACGAAUAAGGAGGGGUCAAUACCCCCUUCGAUGACGGUACCAUUUGUAAGCUCCGGCUAACUCCGUGCCAGCAGCCGCGGUAAUACGGGGGGAGCAAGCGUUGUUCGGAUUUACUGGGCGUAAAGGGCGCGUAGGCGGCGCAACAAGUCACUUGUGAAAUCUCCGGGC
rnacentral:rRNA from 1 species